GUCCUGUUCCUGUUGCCAUCCUGCAUAAUUUCACAGGAGUCAAAGACUGCAUGGUCUACCACAAUGUGGCUUAGAUACGAUUUGCUAAAGGCCCGGUAGGGUCUAAUAUAAAAUACCUACCUCUCUUACUAGUCUUAUGUAAAAGAAUGUAAAAGACUGCAAAGCAUACCUGAGAAAGCAUGGUCUCAGAUUAUCUGGUACAAAACCAGUUUUUACUGAGAGGAUUCUUGAGCAUUGGAGGAUAAAAGAUGGGAAUGGGGAAUCACUUUAUCCAAUAUCAUCUUUUCCUAUCAACCGUACAGGAGACACUGUUUUGUUUACACAGAAGGUUAAAGGGAGUGGGGAGAUUAUGGGGAGGAGAACUGUCGCUGGUCAGGUUGUUAAAGAAAGCUAAACAGCAACACACUUACACUAUUGAAGUGCUUUGCUGCGAGGGGAUGCAGAAAUUGCCUCCCUUGUACCCUUUACUAGUGAAAGGACGGAAUAUUUCCUUAAUAGGUUAAUGACCAUGAGACAGCGAUGGGCUAAUGAAGACGACAGAGUAAAAGUUCUUUCUGAAAAGCAUAGCCGUGGUGCCACAGCAGCAAGAAAGGUUAUGAGAGAAAGGAAAAUAAAGUUAGGCUAUAUAUGUACUAAAAGAUGGAAGACUUCAAAAGCCUGAUCAUGUGAAGAAGGCUGGCUUGUCAAGUAAAGACGAGAGGAAAAAUGAGAAUCAAACUCAGAGGUCUAGACAAGACAAUCAUUCACUUGUUGCUUCACAGGGGGGACAUAAGAAUCCAACCCAGUUGAGAAAUAUGAAUCCCCCUUUCCACUCCCACAAUUCCCAUAGAUAUGCUCCUCGACCACACGUACGGUCCUCCACCACGUGCUCCUCGUCCAUACGCUCCUUUUAGUUCACAUCUUCCUCGUCCAAACAUUCCUCAUCUACAACAAAACCAAUCAAUCCAAAGACCACCAGCAGCUUUCUUCAACGGAAGACCUACUUCUAAUGCUUUGCAGUAACACUCAUUGGUACUGGUCUCGUUUGCAAGUAAACUUGAAUUGAGUUUGCACUUUUCUUUUUUUUUUUUUAAAUCUGGUUUCAAGGCCAUAGGAAACACUCACUUCUUGGGUCUUCUCUGUAAUACUGAAAGUUUUAUCGGAUCAUAAUUCUCU